CCUACGGGGAGCAGCAGUGAGGAAUAUUGGUCAAUGGGCGUAAGCCUGAACCAGCCAAGUCGCGUGAGGGAUGAAGGUUCUAUGGAUCGUAAACCUCUUUUAUAAGGGAAUAAAGUGCGGGACGUGUCCCGUUUUGUAUGUACCUUAUGAAUAAGGAUCGGCUAACUCCGUGCCAGCAGCCGCGGUAAUACGGAGGAUCCGAGCGUUAUCCGGAUUUAUUGGGGUUAAAGGGUGCGUAGGCGGGCUGUUAAGUCAGCGGUAAAAUGUCGGGGCUAAACCCCGGCCUGCCGUUGAAACUGGCGGCCGCGAGUGGGCGAGAAGUAUGCGGAAUGCGUGGUGUAGCGGUGAAAUGCAUAGAUAUCACGCAGAACUCCGAUUGCGAAGGCAGCAUACCGGCGCCCGACUGACGCUGAGGCACGAAAGCGUGGGUAUCGAACAGGAUUAGAUACCCUGGUAGUC
rnacentral:rRNA from 1 species